rnacentral:lncRNA from 8 species
AUUUGAUGUCCCUGUUGAUAAUAGGACUAACCUUUCUCUUUCUCUCUCUCUUUCAGUGAAGAAAGCCAAGCUGCAUGGGCCUCCAGCACUAGCCAAGCCAUUACAGCGGAGCUCAGAGUGAUGGAUGAAAGUCCUGCAGCCUCCCCAUUCAGACCUGCUAGCUGUACACAG